rnacentral:rRNA from 1 species
AUACGGAGGGAGCAAGCGUUAUUCGGAAUCACUGGGCGUAAAGGACGCGUAGGCGGGUUUGUAAGUCAGGUGUGAAAUCCUACAGCUCAACUGUAGAACUGCACUUGAAACUACAGACCUAGAGUAUGAAAGGGGCAGAUGGAAUUAGUGGUGUAGGGGUAAAAUCCGUAGAUAUCACUAGGAAUACCGAAAGCGAAGGCGAUCUGCUGGGACAUUACUGACGCUGAGGCGUGAAAGCGUGGGGAGCAAACCGAAUUAGAAACCCUAGUAGUCC